CCCAGAGACAUGUGCAUAAGCUGUGCCAGCAGACAGUUUCAGCUCUCUGCAACUGAUGCACAGACAACUGCUGUUUCUCCCUUCCCCUGCUCCCCUAACUAUUCUCCUUCUUUCGUUUCUUCAUUCAUCCCCUCUGUACUUUCCCCUUUCUUCCCUCUACUUUGUCAUUUUGUCCUGCACUUUUCCUCAGGCGGUUAUAAAGGCAGGUCUCAUUGGAGAGAGAGAGCUUGUGUAAUCACUGGCUGCACAUGAGCACCAAUGAGUUAUUGCUUCAGCUGGAAAGGCACCACGGACGCGUAGAGGACAAACUCUGGAAUAAGGAGAGAAAGAAGGACUACCUCUGAAACAGGAAGGGAGGAGAAGGGAGGGAGACGCAGAAAGUGUUUGGAACUGAGGUGCAGGACACAGACCAUGCCAGGCUCUGUGGUGCUGCUACUGCUGUCCCUGUUGGUACUGGCCACAGGAAGUGAUGCCAGGAGAAUCAGGAAAAGAGGACUCAACCACAAGGACUACGAGUACCCCAACCAUCCCCAGUCCACCCAGCACCAGAAGAAUGACCGUUGUCCACCGCCACCCCAGAUGUUGCCGGAGAGAGCCUGUGAGGUGCCGGGCUGCCGCUCAGACUCAGAGUGUGAGCGCCAUAAACGUUGCUGCUACAAUGGAUGCAUCUACGCCUGCCUGGAGUCUGUCCAGCCGCCACCAGUGUUGGACUGGCUGGUGCAGCCCAAGCCUCGGUGGUUGGGCGGAAACGGCUGGCUGUUAGAUGGCCCUGAGGAGGUUCUGCAGGCUGAGGCCUGCAGCACAACUGAGGAUGGAGACGAGCCUCUUCAUUGUCCUACGGGCUACGAGUGCCACAUCAUCAAUCCAGGAAACCCUGCCGCUGGCAUUCCUAACCGGGGACAAUGCAUCAAGCAACGUGGCAACUCCGAUGGACGUGGUCUGAGGCACAAAUACUUCAAGGACUACAAGGACUACAUAGGUAAGUGAGGUACCAGUACGAACAAUGCAGUGGGCUACGAAAAACAUCAUCACAAGCUGGGAUGAAAUCAACCAGACCUCAGCCUCAGCUACAACCAUGACACAACUCCAGACAUCAGACUCCAGGACUCCAGUCCUGUUCAAUCGGCUCUCAUCACACCCGAACCAGGAUCAGAUCUGCCCUUUUUACCAAAACUACAGCUGCUACCUCCUCUCUGGCAGCCUGUCCUCAGUUACAAAGUCCUUUUUGGAGACAAGUCUGACUUACAUACCACAUACACAGCCAAAGAAAUAAGUGCACAUUUUGUCUCUCUGUCUGAUGGCUGUAAGAAAAGAUGGAGCAGAGGGUGUUGAUGGCAAAGCAGAAGAGAGGAGAGCAGGGCAUGCACCAAAGCUGUUCAUUAAAUGUCUCAAAAAGGAAACAACAGGCCCUUGCCAAUUUCUUUCUUUUUUCUUCACAACCCUGUCCCUCCCUGCUACUCAUUAAUAUUCUCCUCAACGCAUCUUUACGCUUAAGGCUGGUCAGCGGAGAAAAUCCAGACCAUGUGUUAUCUUCUGUCUCACGGUGCUCACAUUCCCUGGUCUGAAAUCUGGAACGUUUUAUAGACAAAUAUACUGAAUCAAAUCCACAUGAAAGAAGAAAAGCCAUACUGUAAGAGUGUGUGGAUUGUGUCACUUUUCAAGGAUUUGAAACAGCUGUAGAUUAGUUGCAGCCAACAGAUGCUGACCAUAACUGCAUUGCUGUGAAAAUAAAACACAAAAUAAGGAAGAAUAUUGCAUUUGAGAGAGAUAAAGAUUUAAAGACAUGCUCCACUUGUGACAAAAUUAGAAUUUUCCUACUGAAAGGUUGUCCCUUUAAUAUUAAAUUAUGUAUAUAUUAUAUCUGUGAUUGUGAUGUCCUAGUCACACAACAACCAUCUACCAGUGCAGUAUGGUUGUGCACACAUCAUACUGCCUUAUUUCAAAGUACUGGUCCUUGUAUUAAACUUCCCACUAUGCAGUGCAGCCAUGAUAAUAAAAAGGCCGUUUUCCCCGGGGAAAUAUUUCAAACUGGUCAAAAGAUCUUCUGUGUUGUUCUCAAGCAUAACUUGCAGUCAACUGUUUAAGCUUAGGUUGUCUAAUAUCAAUUCAAAUGGUGCUCAGCUUCAUUGCUGCCUAUAAUAACAGGAGAAUAAGCUGCUUGCCUAAUAAGCUGAAGAUGUCAAACGGUGAGCUGUAACCAUCUCUAUGUGCAGAGCCAAAGUGAUGUCUGAUAAUUGCUUCUAUCUGACUGGUGCUGUAACGUUGCCUUGUUUAUUCUAAAUAAACCACAUUGUUGAAGUC